GAUGAACGCUGGCGGCGUGCCUAACACAUGCAAGUCGAACGGAAAGACGAGGAUCGUGGGGUACUCGCGUGGGCAACGGGUGAGUAACACGUGAGUGACUUGCCCUUGUCUUUGGGUUAACUUAAGUAAACAAGGGCGAACACAGGAUAGGAGAUCUUGUUGACAGGAGGGGUCUGUAGAGAUUCGGCGGUUGGGGUUGGAUUGGCGGUUUAUCAGCUUGUUGUUGGGUUAGUGGUUUGCCAAGGGCUUACCGGGUCGCCGGCCUGAGGGAGUGAGCGGCGACACUGGGACUGAGAUACGGCCCAGACUCCUACGGGAGGCAGAAGUGGGGAAGAUUGCACAAUGGGUGGAAGCCUGAUGCAGCAACGCCGUGGGCGGGAUGACGGCCUUCGGGUUGUAAACCGCAUUCGCUCAUGACGAAGCUUUGUGUGACGGUAGUGGGUAAAGAAGCACCGGCUAACUACGUG
rnacentral:rRNA from 1 species